UGAAAUCAAAACAAUUCCAUUGGCAUACUUUCCCCUUUUUUUAUCAUCGAACAUCAUAACACACAUGCAAUAACUUAAUGUACAAUCCUUUUCCUAUUUAUCCCUAGCUGCAUGUACCUCUAGACAUGACCCAGUUUAUAAAACUCCAACAUGUCUGGUUUUUGGUGUGUUACAUGUAUGCAGUGAGUACUCCCCCUUCUCCUUUUCUCUUUCAAUCAUUUUUUUAUUUAUUGAGAACUAAUAAAUGCUGGAUUUUAUCCAUUCAAAUACCAGCACAGAGUGGUUAUGGUUGUAGACUUAUGCUGUCAAACAGUAUGUAUAAUAUUAAUGUGACAAACUUUAUGGGCAUUAUCCAAAUAAUUUGUAGUAUGCU
rnacentral:lncRNA from 1 species